UACGUAGGGGGCAAGCGUUGUCCGGAAUCAUUGGGCGUAAAGAGCGUGUAGGCGGUUUGUUAGGUCCGCUGUGAAAACUCGAGGCUCAACCUCGAGACGCCGGUGGAAACCAUCAGACUAGAGUCCGGAAGAGGAGAGUGGAAUUCCUGGUGUAGCGGUGAGAUGCGCAGAUAUCAGGAAGAACACCCGUGGCUAAGGCGGCUCUCUAGUACGGUACUGACGCUGAGACGCGAAAGCGUGGGGAGCGAACAGG
rnacentral:rRNA from 1 species